GAUGAACGCUGGCGGCGUGCUUAACACAUGCAAGUCGAACGAUGAAGCCCAGCUUGCCGGGUGGAUUAGUGGCGAACGGGUGAGUAACACGUGAGUAACCUGCCCUUAACUCUGGGAUAAGCCUGGGAAACUGGGUCUAAUACCGGAUAGGAGCGUCCACCGCAUGGUGGGUGUUGGAAAGAUUUAUCGGUUUUGGAUGGACUCGCGGCCUAUCAGCUUGUUGGUGAGGUAAUGGCUCACCAAGGCGACGACGGGUAGCCGGCCUGAGAGGGUGACCGGCCACACUGGGACUGAGACACGGCCCAGACUCCUACGGGAGGCAGCAGUGGGGAAUAUUGCACAAUGGGCGCAAGCCUGAUGCAGCGACGCCGCGUGAGGGAUGACGGCCUUCGGGUUGUAAACCUCUUUCAGUAGGGAGGAAGCGAAAGUGACGGUACCUGCAGAAGAAGCACCGGCUAACUACGUG
rnacentral:rRNA from 1 species